rnacentral:lncRNA from 1 species
CAAAUGUACGGUUAAAGGGCUAUUUCGCAUUUUUUGCCGAUCCGCACACAUUGGAAUUUCGCUAACUCCUCCGAAGGCUUUCGUUCCACCGGCACCAAAUUUGCUCAGGCCAAUCUACACCCCAUGGCCAUUAAAAGUUGUACAAAUCAUGAUGCUGCACCCCACGGUUUACGUUCUAGGGGGCGCCAAAAAUAACCCAAAAAUCCACAUUCUUAAAAGUCUUAUAACUUUUUAUUUUUGUCCUCACUGGCCUCCAAGUUUUCUAGGAUGAUGCAAUGUCCAGCCAUCAACACAUUUGUGAAGGAAUUUUUACUCGCCAAAAGAGCGCCCCCCCAUGGCAGGAGAAAAAAGUCCAUUUUUUCUAGUCCCCUAAGGCGAAAAUACACAUUGUUGAAUGUCACGCCUGUACGCUUCGUCAUAUUGACACAAAAUUUGACAAUCACGUGUAUCUCAAUAAGAUCUACGAAAGAGUCAAUGCGCGCGUAUCAGUAAAAUGUACGGUUAAAGGGCUAUUUCGCAUUUUUUGCCGUUUCGCACACAUUGGAAUGUGGCUAACUCCUCCUAAGGCUUUCGUCCCACUGACACCAAAUUUGCUCAGGCCAAUCUAAACUCCAUGGCCAUUCAAAGUUGUAAAAAUCAUGACGCUGCACCCCACGGUCUAUGUUCUAGGGGGCGCCAAAGAGGACCCAAAUAUCCACAUUUUUAAAAGUCUUAUAACUUUUUAUUUUUGUCCUCACUGGCCUCCAAGUUUUCUAGGAUGAUGCAAUGUCCAGCCAUCAACACAUUUGUGAAGGAAUGUUUACUCCCCAAAAGAGCGCCCCCCCAUGGCAGGAGAAAAAAGUCCAUUUUUUCUUGUCCCCUAAGGUGAAAAUACACAUUGUUGAGUGUCAUGCCUGUACGCUUUGUCAAAAUGACACAAAAUUCAACACACACGUGUAUCUCAAUAAGAUCUACGAAAAAGUAAAUGCAGGCGUAUCUGUCAAAUGUACGGUUAAAGGGCUAUUUCGCAUUUUUUGCCGAUUCGCACACAUUGGAAUGUAGCUAACUCCUCCGAAGGCUUUCGCUCCAUCGGCACCAAAUUUGCUCAGGCCAAUCUACACCCCAUGGCCAUUCAAAGUUGUAAAAAUCAUGACGCUGCACCCCACGGUUUAAGUUCUAGGGGGCGCCAAAGAUGACCCAAAUAUCCAUAUUCUUAAAAGUGUUAUAACAUUUUAUUUUUGUCCUCACUGGCCUCCAUGUUUUCUAGGAUGAUGCAAUGUCCAGCCAUCAACACAUUUGUGAAGGAGUUUUUUCUCGUUAAAAGAGCGCCCCCCCAUGGCAGGAGAAUAAAGUCAAGUUUUUCCUGUUCAUCGUUCAAUGGCUCAAACGCAUCGCUCUCUCGGCAAAAGCGAAAGGAGGAGCAACUUGCCAUUUGGAUAUAUCUUAGCUGUGUUUGUGCCCUCACUCAUGGUCCAGACUUUUUUCAAAUAGGACAUGGAGUUUUUCUGCAGCGAGCGUUUUGGUAGAAACUGCGCCUCCCAUUCAUUAUAAUGGUAAAUGACCACAGACAAGUGCGUACACCAUCUUUGGACCUUGAGUGUGACGCGAUUGGGUGGGGGAGGCGGUCGCGCUGGGGGCGGCGCGACACGGCUCGGGCCCGCCAGUGCCCCACCGGGGCCCUAGUUAUUAUUUUUCCUCCGCUUUAAACUGGAAAAUGGCCCACUUCCCACUGGCGAAAACUCAUGAAAUUUGGCAGGACGACCGGGCCUGGUGAAAAAUUCGAUAUUCUGAAGUCGCCCAAACAAUAAAAUGCAAAAUGGCUCCAUAGCGCCCCCUAAGGUGGAAAUUCACACUGUUGACUGUCACGCCUGUACGCUUUGUCAUAUUGACACAAAAAUUGACACACACAUGUAUCUCAAUAAGAUCUACAAAAAAGUCAGUGCGGGCGUAUCUGUCAAAUGUACGGUUAAAGGGUUAUUUCGCAUUUUUUGCCGAUCCGCACACAUUGAAAUUUCGCUAACUCCUCCGAAGGCUUUCGUUCCACCGGCACCACAUUUGCUCAGGCCAAUCUACACCCCAUGGCCAUUCAAAGUUGUAAAAAUCAUGACGCUGCACCCCACGGUUUACGUUCUAGGGGGCGCCAAAGAUGACCCAAAUAUCCAUAUUCUUAAAAGUGUUAUAACUUUUUAUUUUUGUCCUCACUGGCCUCCAAGUUUUCUAGGAUGAUGCAAUGUCCAGCCAUCAACACAUUUGUAAAGGAAUUUUUACUCCCCAAAAGAGCGCCCCCCCAUGGCAGGAGAAAAAAAUCCAUUUUUUCUUGUCCCCUAAGGUGAAAAAACACAUUGUUGACUGUCACGCCUAUACGCUUUGUCAAAAUGACACAAAAUUUGACACACACGUGUAUCUCAAUAAGAUCUACGAAAAAGUCAAUGGGCACGUAUCUGUAAAAUGUACGGUUAAAGGGCUAUUUCGCAUUUUUUGCCGAUUCGCACACAUUGGAAUGUGGCUAACUCCUCCUAAGGCUUUCGUCCCACCGACACCAAAUUUGCUCAAGCCGAUCUACAUCCCAUGGCCAUUCAAAGUUGUAGAAAUCAUGACGCUGCUCCCCACGGUUGACGUUCUAGGGGGCGACAAAGAUGACCCAAAUAUCCACAUUCUUAAAAGAAUCCACAUCCCCCAAGGCAGGAGAAAAAGUCAAGUUAACCCUGCCCAUCGGUCAAUGGCUCAAUCGCA